CCCGCCCGCGCGCCCGCUCCGGCGCGCCCGCUCCGGCGCGCGCCGAGGGGUGGGCGGGAAAGCGGCGGGCGGGUCGGCGGCGUCUCGUCGCGCGCUCGCCUCACGGCGGCGGCCCCGCCCCCCCCUCCGCUCACCUCAGGGAGGCGCCAUGGGCGCUGUCGCCCCGCCGGGCGCUGCCGCGAGCGGAGAAGCGGGCGGCGACGGCGCCUCACGAGAUCACAAAUAACUGAAUAGAAAUGACCCAGGAUACAAGUGAAAACAUCUUUUUUAUCUAGACUUCAAUAAACACAGUGCUUAGAUCUACUCUACAUGCAAAAGGGAGUUUGUGACAGCUGCCUUCAUAAGAGAUACUCCAGUAAGGAUGACAGAUUAUGAAGCCUACAAAGAGAGAGAUGGUCGGCCACAGAUACAUCAUCUUCAGGAUUACUCAACAACUCUCCAAAUUACUUAAAUCUGAAGACUGGGUUAUGGAGACAUGCUUUAAUCCUGAACAGAAUGAAAAACAGUUUUGGAAUAUAAUCAUUGUUAUUUGUUAUUUGCAAGAAAAAUAGAAAUCAUUGUCUAACUAUGAGCAAGACCAGUCUUUCUUAUCUGAAACUUGAACCUCUCUGAUUUACUCCCAAACACAUUUUAUAUAAAACUGUCAUCAUUUUUCAAAUGAGGUAAAAUGCAGUACAGAUUUGCUUUAAAGGCUGUGGUUAUGAGUCGUUUUGUGUCCUUUUGUCAAAUAUUCUUAUAAAGUUUAAAGCACAGAAAAGAUUUUAGCAAGACAUAGAAGACUGGGUAAUAAGCAUCUAUAUUUCUUCUUUCUUUUAUUCUUGUGUGUGCUUGAAAGCUUGCAGCAGUAUUUCAACAACAGUUAUUGAGAAAAGGCUGACUUCAGCCUAUUCAUUCUGAACAUCUGGGCAGAACCUAACAACAGUAAUUAAAACCCACUAAAUUGGUAACAAUACCAAAUUGCUAGAGAUGGAACACUGCAUAUUGUCCCACCCUUCUCUGUGGAUUUCUGUUAGGUCAAUACAGCCUGCUCUUGAAAAUCCUUUCCUGUAUGUCUCUUUCUGAAGUCUCUGACAAGAAAGAGCUGCAUCCAAAUUCUCUGGUCACAUGAGCAUUGCUCUUGGAUUUUUUUUUACCACAAACCCAGGAAAAUUAAAGGCUCAUAGUUAAUACAGUUGGUAUAACAUUUCAGGAUUCUGUUCUUUUCAAAUAAAUUAUAUACAAUGAUCUGUAAUAGCUGCUUCCUUGUUUUAAAACGUAUCCAUGUAAAAUAUUUUAAAAUAAUAAUUAAAUUGCAUGCUAGCAUUUGUGAGGAACACGGAAUUGAACAGUACAGAGAGUAACAGUCACUUUUUAUCCCAAACAGUUUUUUUUACCAAGGACAGCAGUGAGAGGCUUACUUUAGCUACUCCACUUGGACAGAGCCACCUCCAGGUUGAGGAGUUCUAGUCCCCCACAAUCUAUUCAGUUCUUGCCAAAGUCAGUGACCUCAGCACGACUGUGCUACCCACAAAAUCACCAGGAGCAAAAUGUAGCUCUUUUGAUUCUAUAAAGUUGACCCCAGUAAAUGCAGACAUCCACAUUUUUUAACAACUGGAGGGGCACUGAACAGCUAACUUAGCAAACAUUUCAGAGAUUGGAGUAAAAGAGUCAGCACACCUUUCUUCAGGAUUCCAGCGCUCCCCUUUAAAAUAGCUUAGCCCAAGGACCAAUGGAUAAUGAAAAAUUAAGGAAACAUACUGUGAGCUUUCAGAGCAGAAGGGAACUGCAGUAUCUGCUUAUUGCUGUUCCCAAAAGUAACAGUUAAUGACCCCUUUGCUUUAAACUGCUUUAAAAUAUGCUAAUCAACUAAUUUCUUUCUGCAAAGCUCUUCUGAAUGUCAUAUUCCUACUGGUACAAACUGUCAGCAGUGUAUCAUUUCAAUCCUGCAAUCAGUUCAUUUCCUAGUAUUGCUGUACACACUCUCUGAAAACGUAGUAUUACUUCUUUUAUUUCAAAGUUCUCUAUCUUUGUUAUAAUAAAGUGUAUUGGAUCUA